UACAGAGGGCGCAAGCGUUGUUCGGAUUCACUGGGCAUAAAGAGCACGUAGGCGGCUACGUAAGUCGGAUGUGAAAUCCCCCGGCUCAACCGGGGAAUGGCAUCCGAUACUGCGUGGCUCGAGGUUGGGAGGGGUGAGCUGAACUCCAGGUGGAACGGUGAAAUGUGUAGAUAUCUGGAGGAACACCGGUGGCGAAGGCGGCUCACUGGCCCUAAUCUGACGCUGAGGUGCGAAAGCUAGGGGAGCGAACGGG
rnacentral:rRNA from 1 species